rnacentral:rRNA from 1 species
UACGGAGGGAGCAAGCGUUACUCGGAAUUACUGGGCGUAAAGGGCGCGUAGGCGAUUUUGUAAGUCUUGUGUGAAAGCCCAAAGCCUAACUUUGGAAGUGCACAAGAAACUGCGAGAAUUGAGUUCCGGAGAGGAAGAUGGAAUUCCCGGUGUAGCGGUGAAACGCGUAGAUAUCGGGAGGAACACCAGUGGCGAAGGCGAUCUUCUGGACGGAUACUGACGCUGAGGCGCGAAAGCUAGGGGAGCAAACGGG